rnacentral:rRNA from 1 species
UACGUAGGGUGCAAGCGUUGUCCGGAUUUACUGGGCGUAAAGAGCGCGUAGGCGGCUUGUUAAGUGUGGUGUGAAAUCUCCAGGGCUCAACCCGGAAACUGCACCGCAUACUGACUAGCUUGAGGGAUGGAGAGGUGAGUGGAAUUCCGAGUGUAGAGGUGAAAUUCGUAGAUAUUCGGAAGAACACCAGUGGCGAAGGCGGCUCACUGGACUGGUAUUGACGCUGAGGUGCGAAAGCGUGGGGAGCAAACAGG